rnacentral:misc_RNA from 1 species
GAUGAAGAACGCAGCGAAAUGCGAUAAGUAGUGUGAAUUGCAGAAUUCAGUGAAUCAUCGAAUCUUUGAACGCACAUUGCGCCCCUUGGUAUUCCAUGGGGCAUGCCUGUUCGAGCGUCAUUUGUACCUUCAAGCUUUGCUUGGUGUUGGGUGUUUGUCCCUCGGGACUCGCCUUAAAGUCAUUGGCAGCCAGUGUUUUGGUUUUGAAGCGCAGCACAAGUCGCGAUUCAAGGCUAUCCGCCCGCUUCCACAAGCCUUUUUCACUUUUGACCUCGGAUCAGGUAGGGAUACCCGCUGAACUUAAGCAUAUCAAUAGCGGAGGA